UUGCACGCUGGCGGCAGGCCUAACACCUGCAAGUCGCACGGUAACAGGAAGAAGCUUGCUUCUUUGCUGACGAGUGGCGGACGGGUGAGUAAUGUCUGGGAAACUGCCUGAUGGAGGGGGAUAACUACUGGAAACGGUAGCUAAUACCGCAUAACGUCGCAAGACCAAAGAGGGGGACCUUCGGGCCUCUUGCCAUCGGAUGUGCCCAGAUGGGAUUAGCUAGUAGGUGGGGUAACGGCUCACCUAGGCGACGAUCCCUAGCUGGUCUGAGAGGAUGACCAGCCACACUGGAACUGAGACACGGUCCAGACUCCUACGGGAGGCAGCAGUGGGGAAUAUUGCACAAUGGGCGCAAGCCUGAUGCAGCCAUGCCGCGUGUAUGAAGAAGGCCUUCGGGUUGUAAAGUACUUUCAGCGGGGAGGAAGGGAGUAAAGUUAAUACCUUUACUCAUUGACGUUACCCGCAGAAGAAGCACCGGCUAACUCCGUG
rnacentral:rRNA from 1 species